ACCCGUGGAGAUGGGGACAUGGGGACGCUGUGGGGGGACACAUGGGGACGCUCCGGCGGGGACAUGGGGACACCGGACCUACCUCUGCCAGGGGGGACGCUCGUCCUGUCCCCACAGGGGGUGACCUGGGCAGGGGACAAGGGGGGACAUUGUGGGGACACUGUGGGGACAGCAGCCACCCCUGUCCCCAAGCCCCCCCCCCACACCCUGUGUCCCCUCCCUGUGUCACCUCGUCCCGUGUCACCUCCACCAGCCCUGAGGCCACCCCUGUGGGGACAAGGACAUGCCACCAUGGGGACACGGCAGGGGACACGGCUGCCACUCGUCUCAGGUGACACCGGGUCCCCAAAAGUGUCCCCCAAAAAAAUGUCCCCAGAGUGUCCCCGCUCACCACUGUGCUGUGUCCCCCCAGGCGGACGGGCUCCUCCUGUCACCUCGGCCACCAAGCUGGGGACAGGGCCACCGUGUCACCCUCGGAGCCCCCAAAAACAGGGCCCCCCCCCCCGGUGUCCCCCCGCCCCUCACUCACUUGUCACCCGCCGGCUCCCGCUGCCACUGCAGCCGGUCCAGGGCCACCAGCGGGGCCACCAGCCCUGGGGACAAGGGACAGGGUGACGCUGGCUGCCCGCAGGGUGACGGCCACCCAAGGGGGGUGACGGUGACACUGGAGCCACACGGGACCAUCACGGCCACGUCCCCAUCCCGUCCUUGUGUCCCCAUGGCCCUGUGUCCCCAUCUGUGUCCCCAACCUUGUCCUUGUCCCCUUCUGGUUGUCCCCAUCCUUGUCCCCAACCCACAUCCUUGUCCCUACCCCAUGUCCUUGUCCCCUCCUGGUUGUCCCCAUGUCCCUGUCCUUGUCCCCAACCCACGUCCUUGUCCCCUCCUUCGUGUCCCCAUGUCCCCAACCCAUAUCCCUGUCCCUACCCCAUGUCCCUGUCCCCAUGUCCCUGUCCCCUUCUGGUUGUCCCCAUGUCCCCAUCCUUGUCCCCACCCCAUGUCCCUGUCCCCUCCCCACUGUCCCUUUGUCCCCAUCCUUGUCCCCGUGUCCCCCUGCUCCCUCCCCAUUCCCCCCUGUCCCCAACCCCACCUCCCCCCUGUCCCCAUGUCCCUGCCCCACUGUCCCCAUGUCCCCAACCUCCCGUCCCCAUGUCCCCAACCCCCUGUCCCCAUGUCCCCAACCUUGUCCCCAACCUAUAUCCCUGUCCCCAGCCCAUGUCUCUGUCACCUUUCCAUGUCCCUGUCCCCUUCUGGUUGUCCCCAUGUCCCCAACCCCGUGUCCCCGUGUCCCCAUGUCCCCUCACCCCGCAGGACCCGCAGCUGCCGCCCCGCGCGGUGCAGGCGGGCGCUGAGGCCACCCAAGGCCCCGGUGGCCACUGUCACCGCGGCCUCGCGCCCUGUCACCGCCACCGCCAGCCUGGGGACAGGGACAGGGACAGGGCUCAGCGCUCCCAGUGCCUCCCAGUCCAUCCCAGUCCCCCCCUCCCGGUGCCAACAAGCAGUCCCCAG
rnacentral:lncRNA from 1 species